rnacentral:rRNA from 1 species
CGCGUAGGCGGCCUUCUAAGUCGAACGUGAAAUCCCCGGGCUCAACCCGGGAACUGCGUCCGAGACUGGAAGGCUUGAAUCCGGGAGAGGGAUGUGGAAUUCCAGGUGUAGCGGUGAAAUGCGUAGAUAUCUGGAGGAACAUCGGUGGCGAAGGCGGCAUCCUGGACCGGUAUUGACGCUGAGGCGCGAAAGCCAGGGGAGCAAACGG